UACGGGGGGGCGAAGCGUUGUUCGGAAUUACUGGGCGUAAAGGGCUCGUAGGUGGCCAACUAAGUCAGACGUGAAAUCCCUCGGCUUAACCGGGGAACUGCGUCUGAUACUGGAUGGCUUGAGAUUGGGAGAGGGAUGCGGAAUUCCAGGUGUAGCGGUGAAAUGCGUAGAUAUCUGGAGGAACACCGGUGGCGAAGGCGGCAUCCUGGACCAACACUGACACUGAGGAGCGAAAGCCAGGGGAGCAAACGGG
rnacentral:rRNA from 1 species